rnacentral:rRNA from 1 species
GACGAACGCUGGCGGCGUGCUUAACACAUGCAAGUCGAACGAAGAGCGAUGGAAGCUUGCUUCUAUCACUCUUAGUGGCGAACGGGUGAGUAACGCGUAAUCAACCUGCCCUUCAGAGGGGGACAACAGUUGGAAACGACUGCUAAUACCGCAUACGAUCUAAUCUCGGCAUCGAGGAUAGAUGAAAGGUGGCCUCUACAUGUAAGCUAUCACUGAAGGAGGGGAUUGCGUCUGAUUAGCUAGUUGGAGGGGUAACGGCCCACCAAGGCGAUGAUCAGUAGCCGGUCUGAGAGGAUGAACGGCCACAUUGGGACUGAGACACGGCCCAGACUCCUACGGGAGGCAGCAGUGGGGAAUCUUCCGCAAUAGACGAAAGUCUGACGGAGCAACGCCGCGUGAGUGAUGACGGCCUUCGGGUUGUAAGGCUCUGUUAAUCGGGACGAAAGGCCUUCUUGCGAAUAGUGAGAAGGAUUGACGGUACCGGAAUAGAAAGCCACGGCUAACUACGUG